rnacentral:rRNA from 1 species
CACAAGCGGUGGAUUAUGUUGUUUAAUUCGACGCAACGCGAAGAACCUUGCCAGGCCUUGACAUACUCGGCAAAGCUCUAGAGAUAGAGUGGAGGUUAUCCGGGAUACAGGUUGGUGCAUGGUUGUCGUCAGCUCGUGUCGUGAGAUGUUGGGUUAAGUCCCGCAACGAGCGCAACCCUUGUCUUUAGUUACCAUCAUUCAGUUGGGGACUCUAGAGAGACUGCCGGUGAUAAACCGGAGGAAGGUGGGGAUGACGUCAAAUCAUCAUGCCCCUUAUGGCCUGGGCUACAAACGUAAUACAAUGGCGUAUACAAAGGGAUGCGAAAGGGCGACCUGGAGCAAAACUUACAAAGUACGUCUCAGUUCAGAUUGGAGUCUGCAACUCGACUCCAUGAAGGCGGAAUCGCUAGUAAUCGCGGAUCAGCAUGCCGCGGUGAAUACGUUCUCGGGGUUU